AUUGAACGCUGGCGGAAUGCUUUACACAUGCAAGUCGAACGGCAGCACGGACUUCGGUCUGGUGGCGAGUGGCGAACGGGUGAGUAAUAUAUCGGAACGUGCCCAGUCGUGGGGGAUAACGUAGCGAAAGUUACGCUAAUACCGCAUACGAUCUAAGGAUGAAAGCGGGGGAUCGCAAGACCUCGCGCGAUUGGAGCGGCCGAUAUCAGAUUAGGUAGUUGGUGGGGUAAAGGCCCACCAAGCCAACGAUCUGUAGCUGGUCUGAGAGGACGACCAGCCACACUGGAACUGAGACACGGUCCAGACUCCUACGGGAGGCAGCAGUGGGGAAUUUUGGACAAUGGGCGAAAGCCUGAUCCAGCCAUUCCGCGUGCAGGAUGAAGGCCCUCGGGUUGUAAACUGCUUUUGUACAGAACGAAAAGGUUUCUACUAAUACUAGGAGCUCAUGACGGUACUGUAAGAAUAAGCACCGGCUAGCUACGUGCCAGCCGCCGCAGUAA
rnacentral:rRNA from 1 species